AGAGUUUGAUCAUGGCUCAGAUUGAACGCUGGCGGCAGGCCUAACACAUGCAAGUCGAGCGGUAGCACAGAGAGCUUGCUCUCGGGUGACGAGCGGCGGACGGGUGAGUAAUGUCUGGGAAACUGCCUGAUGGAGGGGGAUAACUACUGGAAACGGUAGCUAAUACCGCAUAACGUCGCAAGACCAAAGUGGGGGACCUUCGGGCCUCAUGCCAUCAGAUGUGCCCAGAUGGGAUUAGCUAGUAGGUGGGGUAACGGCUCACCUAGGCGACGAUCCCUAGCUGGUCUGAGAGGAUGACCAGCCACACUGGAACUGAGACACGGUCCAGACUCCUACGGGAGGCAGCAGUGGGGAAUAUUGCACAAUGGGCGCAAGCCUGAUGCAGCCAUGCCGCGUGUGUGAAGAAGGCCUUCGGGUUGUAAAGCACUUUCAGCGGGGAGGAAGGCGUUAAGGUUAAUAACCUUGGCGAUUGACGUUACCCGCAGAAGAAGCACCGGCUAACUCCGUGCCAGCAGCCGCGGUAAUACGGAGGGUGCAAGCGUUAAUCGGAAUUACUGGGCGUAAAGCGCACGCAGGCGGUCUGUCAAGUCGGAUGUGAAAUCCCCGGGCUCAACCUGGGAACUGCAUUCGAAACUGGCAGGCUAGAGUCUUGUAGAGGGGGGUAGAAUUCCAGGUGUAGCGGUGAAAUGCGUAGAGAUCUGGAGGAAUACCGGUGGCGAAGGCGGCCCCCUGGACAAAGACUGACGCUCAGGUGCGAAAGCGUGGGGAGCAAACAGGAUUAGAUACCCUGGUAGUCCACGCCGUAAACGAUGUCGAUUUGGAGGUUGUGCCCUUGAGGCGUGGCUUCCGGAGCUAACGCGUUAAAUCGACCGCCUGGGGAGUACGGCCGCAAGGUUAAAACUCAAAUGAAUUGACGGGGGCCCGCACAAGCGGUGGAGCAUGUGGUUUAAUUCGAUGCAACGCGAAGAACCUUACCUGGUCUUGACAUCCACAGAACUUAGCAGAGAUGCUUUGGUGCCUUCGGGAACUGUGAGACAGGUGCUGCAUGGCUGUCGUCAGCUCGUGUUGUGAAAUGUUGGGUUAAGUCCCGCAACGAGCGCAACCCUUAUCCUUUGUUGCCAGCGGUUCGGCCGGGAACUCAAAGGAGACUGCCAGUGAUAAACUGGAGGAAGGUGGGGAUGACGUCAAGUCAUCAUGGCCCUUACGACCAGGGCUACACACGUGCUACAAUGGCAUAUACAAAGAGAAGCGACCUCGCGAGAGCAAGCGGACCUCAUAAAGUAUGUCGUAGUCCGGAUUGGAGUCUGCAACUCGACUCCAUGAAGUCGGAAUCGCUAGUAAUCGUAGAUCAGAAUGCUACGGUGAAUACGUUCCCGGGCCUUGUACACACCGCCCGUCACACCAUGGGAGUGGGUUGCAAAAGAAGUAGGUAGCUUAACCUUCGGGAGGGCGCUUACCACUUUGUGAUUCAUGACUGGGGUGAAGUCGUAACAAGGUAACCGUAGGGGAACCUGCGGUUGGAUCACCU
rnacentral:rRNA from 3 species